UACGGAGGAUGCAAGCGUUAUCCGGAAUCACUGGGUUUAAAGGGUGCGUAGGCGGAUUGAUAAGUCAGAGGUGAAAGCUCUCAGCUUAACUGAGGAACUGCCUUUGAAACUGUCAGUCUUGAAAUAUGGUGAGGUUAGCGGAAUGAGUCAUGUAGCGGUGAAAUGCAUAGAUAUGACUUAGAACACCAAUUGCGAAGGCAGCUGACUGGCCAUUAUUUGACGCUGAGGCACGAAAGCGUGGGGAGCGAACAGG
rnacentral:rRNA from 1 species